UUUUUUGGGGUGAUGGCGUGCCUUUUGAAGAAUGAGCCUGCGAGUCAGCGGCAUGUCGCGAGGUUAACCCGUUUGGUGGGGUAGUCGUAGCGAAAGCGAAUACUAACUAGUGUGUUUUUAGUGGCAUGUCCUGGACCCGAAGCGGGGUGAUCUACCCAUGGCCAGUGUGAAGCAGAGGUAAGACUCUGUGGAGGCGCGAACCCACUUAGGUUGAAAACUGAGGGGAUGAGUUGUGGGUAGGGGUGAAAGGCCAAUCAAACUCCGUGAUAGCUGGUUCUCCCCGAAAUGCAUUUAGGUGCAGCGUCGUGUGUUUCCUCCUGGAGGUAGAGCUACUGGUUGGUUUAGCGGGACUAUCAUCUUAGCGACAUCAGCCAAACUCCGAAUGCCAGGUUAGGUCAGAGCACGGCAGUGAGACUGCGGGGGAUAAGCUUCGUAGUCGAGAGGGAAACAGCCCAGAUCGCCGGCUAAGGCCCCUAAGGGUGUGCUAAGUGGAAAAGGAUGUGGGAUCGCGAAGACAACCAGGAGGUUGGCUUAGAAGCAGCCAUCCUUGAAAGAGUGCGUAAUAGCUCACUGGUCGAGUGGUUCUGCGCCGACAAUGUAGUGGGGCUCAAGUACACCGCCGAAGCCGCGGCAAUCACCAUUUUGUGGUGGUUGGGUAGGGGAGCGUCGCGUGACUGCUGUGAAGCGCUGGGGUAACCCUAGUGUGGAGUGUGCGCGAGUGAGAAUGCAGGCAUGAGUAGCGAAUGAGGAGUGGAAAACUCCUCCGCCGAAUGACUAAGGGUUCCUGGGCCAGGUUAAUCCUCCCAGGGUGAGUCGGGACCUAAGGCGAGGCCGACAGGCGUAGUCGAUGGAUAACGGGUUGAUAUUCCCGUACCCGUGUGUCCGCGCCCAUGGUGAAUCAGGGAUACUAACCCACCUGAACACGCGCCUUGUGCCAGCCUUUUAGGUUGGUUGGUGUGUGUGAUGCUGGGGACCUGAACUGGUAGUAGCCAAGUGAUGGGGUGACGCAGGAAGGUAGCCGUGCCACGUGAUGGAUAUCGUGGUGUAAGCGUGUGGCCCGUGUUCUAGGUAAAUCCGGAGCACA
rnacentral:rRNA from 1 species